rnacentral:rRNA from 1 species
CCUACGGGUGGCAGCAGUGGGGAAUAUUGGACAAUGGGGGGAACCCUGAUCCAGCCAUGCCGCGUGUGUGAAGAAGGCCCUCGGGUUGUAAAGCACUUUCAGUGAGGAAGAACGCCUGGUGGUUAAUACCCAUCAGGAAAGACAUCACUCACAGAAGAAGCACCGGCUAACUCCGUGCCAGCAGCCGCGGUAAUACGGAGGGUGCGAGCGUUAAUCGGAAUUACUGGGCGUAAAGCGCGCGUAGGUGGCUUGAUAAGCCGGUUGUGAAAGCCCCGGGCUCAACCUGGGAACGGCAUCCGGAACUGUCAAGCUAGAGUGCAGGAGAGGAAGGUAGAAUUCCCGGUGUAGCGGUGAAAUGCGUAGAGAUCGGGAGGAAUACCAGUGGCGAAGGCGGCCUUCUGGACUGACUCUGACACUGAGGUGCGAAAGCGUGGGUAGCAAACAGGAUUAGAUACCCUUGUAGUC